GAUGAACGCUGGCGGCGUGCCUAACACAUGCAAGUCGAGCGGACAGACGAGGAGUUUGCUCCUCGCACGAUAGCGGCGGACGGGUGUGACACACGUGGAAACCCUCCCUAUCAGUCUGGGAUCACUACGGGACUCCGGAUCAUAUACCGGAUAAUCUAUUGCACCGCAUGGUUCGAUAGUAAAUGUCGGUGUUGCUGUAUCUUAUAGCUGCUUCCGCGCCGCUUUGGCUAGUAGGUACGGUAAAGGCUUUCCAAGGGUACGAGGCGUAGCCGACCUGCGAGGGGGAUAGGCCACACGGGAACGGGGACACGGUCCAGACUCCUACGGGAGGCAGCAGUAGGGAAUCGUCCGCAAUGGGCGAAAGCCUGACGGAGCAACGCCGCGUGAGUGAUGAAGGUCUUCGGAUCGUAAAACUCUGUUAUUAGGGAAGAACAAAUGUGUAAGUAACUAUGCACGUCUUGACGGUACCUAAUCAGAAAGCCACGGCUAACUACGUG
rnacentral:rRNA from 1 species